rnacentral:rRNA from 1 species
AGAGUUUGAUCAUGGCUCAGAUUGAACGCUGGCGGCGUGCUUAACACAUGCAAGUCGAGCGGUAGCAGGCGUAGCAAUACGUGCUGACGAGCGGCGAACGGGUGAGUAACGCUUCGGAAUCUUCCUAGUAGUGGGGAAUAACCUGGGGAAACUUAAGCUAAUACCGCAUACGCUCUCUAUCGGAAGGUGGGGAGGAAAGCGGGGGCUCGUAAGACCUCGCGCUAUGAGAUGAGCCUGCGUUGGAUUAGCUAGUUGGUAGGGUAAAGGCCUACCAAGGCGACGAUCCAUAGCUGGUCUGAGGGGACGAUCAGCCACACUGGGACUGAGACACGGCCCAGACUCCUACGGGAGGCAGCAGUGGGGAAUAUUGGACAAUGGGCGCAAGCCUGAUCCAGCAAUACCGCGUGUGUGAAGAAGGCCUGAGGGUUGUAAAGCACUUUCACUGGGGAGGAAAAAGUGACGGUCAAUACCCGUUACCUUGACAUUACCUAGAGAAGAAGCACCGGCUAACUCCGUGCCAGCAGCCGCGGUAAUACGGAGGGUGCGAGCGUUAAUCGGAAUUACUGGGCGUAAAGCGUGCGUAGGCGGCCUGUCAAGUCAGAUGUGAAAGCCCCGGGCUUAACCUGGGAACGGCAUUUGAAACGGGCAAGCUAGAGUUAGGUAGAGGGGAGUGGAAUUUCAGGUGUAGCGGUGAAAUGCGUAGAUAUCUGAAGGAACACCAGUGGCGAAGGCGGCUCCCUGGACCCAAACUGACGCUGAGGUACGAAAGCGUGGGUAGCAAACAGGAUUAGAUACCCUGGUAGUCCAUGCCGUAAACGAUGUCGACUAGCCGUUGGGCUCUUAUAGAGUUUAGUGGCGCAGCUAACGCAUUAAGUCGACCGCCUGGGGAGUACGGCCGCAAGGUUAAAACUCAAAUGAAUUGACGGGGGCCCGCACAAGCGGUGGAGCAUGUGGUUUAAUUCGAUGCAACGCGAAGAACCUUACCUACCCUUGACAUCCAGUGGAUUUGGCAGAGAUGCCUUAGUGCCUUCGGGAACACUGAGACAGGUGCUGCAUGGCUGUCGUCAGCUCGUGUCGUGAGAUGUUGGGUUAAGUCCCGUAACGAGCGCAACCCUCGCCAUUAGUUGCCAUCAUUAAGUUGGGCACUCUAGUGGGACUGCCGAAGAUAAUUCGGAGGAAGGCGGGGAUGACGUCAAGUCAUCAUGGCCCUUACGGUUUGGGCUACACACGUGCUACAAUGGCGGUGACAGUGGGCAGCUACUCAGUAAUGAGAUGCUAAUCCCAAAAAGCCGUCUCAGUUCGGAUUGAGCUCUGCAACUCGAGCUCAUGAAGUCGGAAUCGCUAGUAAUCGCGGAUCAGCACGCCGCGGUGAAUACGUUCCCGGGCCUUGUACACACCGCCCGUCACACCAUGGGAGUUGGUCUUAUCCUAAAACGGUGCGCUAACCGCAAGGAGGCAGCCGGCCACGGUAAGGUCAGCGACUGGGGUGAAGUCGUAACAAGGUAACCGUA